CUGGGGGGCGUCUUUCUUUUUUGUCAGCGGAGUGAGCUAGGGGGAGAGCGAGAGCGAGAGCGUGCGGCGUGCCUUUCCGAUCCCAAGGAGCGGCGGCGGCGGCCAGGGACCGAAGAGCAGCGCCGAUCGAGGCCUGUGUACCUGCCGCCCAUCCUCGGGCAGAAGGCGGCGAAGAGGUAGGAGACUGCGCUGAGGAUCCGCGCGAGGUGGGAGCGUCGUCGAGGACCAGCAAGGCCGGUCCCGUGGUGAGGCCGCUUGCCACGGGGUGAGGCAGGCUGCUGGGUUAGUCCACUUCCUGGGGGCAAGCACGGGGGAGGCGAGGAGGGUCAGCAACCGGUACUCAAGGAGACGGUUCUACUCGUCGGGGAAAACUAAAAAAACGGUUUGUAAGUAGGUCUAAACGAUACUUGAAGACGACUACGUACUACAAAAGGAUAACUAUACGAUACACCACCACUUAUAUAUACCACGACGACGACGUAUAUAUGAACAGUACACGACGAUCUGUAUGUAUUUAUGUACUGGUUUUGCUCUAAAACAACCGACAAUACCAAACGUUUCAGACAGGUCAAACGUUUCAGAGCACAUGUAAGUACAAAAGUAAGUGUCAUCAUUCAAGAGUGAUUCAUAACAUAAGCGGAGACCUACGAUCGUAACAUAAAGGUAUCUCCUUUUUAACUACCAAGACACAUUCUAGAAAGUAUGAGCAUGAGCAUGAACUCUAUUACUACGUACAUACUACACUCUAUUACUACGUAAAUACUAUAAGCAUACAGUCCGUUACUAGAAAUAAUACAAACUAACAUUGUAUAGCAUCACAAAACUUCAGCUUAAACACAAGUAAACUCAUCGUUUUACUAUUUUUAUUGUGUUAUAGUAAAUUAGUCCUGUUGGUAUAUCAGGUUCCCGUACUGUCUGAAAAGUGACUGGUAUGUUGUCUAUUCGACUUUUUUGUCCGUGACUUUUCUUGACUGAUCGAAUAAUAUACCUCGAAUAAAGGUGUCCUCGAAUAGAUCUCGAAUAAAAGUGUCGUAUCGAGUUUUCUUGACGGGGAAUCAGUCGUCCUUCGUCAGUAACGCCUGCGCAGCGGAGGAGAAGGGGAACCGCAGCAGGAGGAGGCCUGGGGAGGUGGAGCUGUGGGGUCGGUCGGAGCGUGAGCGUAAGCGUGACGAGGUCUUGGGGACUGGGCGAGGGAAGGGAACUGCGCACGUCGUGUUUAUCGUCACCCCGUAAAGUAAUUUCCUUCCGGUACUAAAGGGUGUUCCUAUCCCGAGUUUUCCGCAUACUCCGGUACCCCACAGAGCCGAAGGGGUUCUUCGUCCAAAGCGGUCAGGACUUCGUGGAGAUGUUCGAGAAACUUUUGACCCUUGGGUAGCUCCUGCUCUCGAUGGCGUAGGAACGACUGUGGUAGGACCUAUCGGUUUUCUUAGUUGUUUACGGACGGUGAUCGGCAGUACACUGUCUGGUUCUCAGGCUCGGAGUGUUGAGUUGCAGCCAGUGUGGUCUAGGUCUACUGGUUGUGGGAAGACGACGAGCCAUACUGUACCUACAAUCACUAUUACUUUGGAGGGAGUAGUUGUCUGGGUACCUACAGUCACUUUUAGGGGUUCUACGAGAGAAAAAUGUUCUCGGGUUCGGACUUGGACUUUAACUACAAGGUCGACGAGGACAACGGUUGCUGGAGUUAUGACCCAGAAGUCUCAGUGCACGACACGUAAGACUUCGAGUUUUGUUACCACCGUCGAACGUUCUUGUCCGAAACCUCUGCAUACGAGGGAAACACUUCGGUUAACGAACAUUCGUACGACAACUACCCUUACCAUUAUGACGGCAUCCUAGUAGGAGCCUUGGAUCGAAAGUUUUAACCCAUCAACGAAUAGUCGGAGUCCUUCGUGAAAAAUUCGUUUCCGGUGACGUACUACAACGACUGUAUUGCUUCCCUCUUCUUUCCCAAUCUUAUGGAUAGCAUUUGCUUAAACCAUCACUAUCAACAGGCGGUAACAAGAUAAUGUAUUCUUUCUUAGAGUAAAAGGUUUCACGAAUACAGUUGUGGAGUGAACGCGCCUAACCACUACUCCUAACGACGCGUCUAACAAGUCCGUUGACGAAUAAUCUUAGUGUAGGUACACGUACACGUUCUAGUUGACCUCCACUCUAACGUAUGUGUGGCCUCCCGGACCAGUCCCGUCUUAAUUAACUACUCACGUAACGACAAUUAGUGAAGGGUCUUUUCCUAUUAUUCAAGAUGACAUUUCGAACAGGAGAACUUUAUAUAUUCUGUUUCGGGAGUGGUCUAGGUACAUUUCCAGUAGAACGAUCUUUUAAGUAAUUCCUCACAACCUCAUUUACACCGACACCGUACGUCACACCUUUAGCACACUAAGUCGCACCCUAUUGUACGUUAGAGGUCCACAAAAAGUGUUUACUUCCCUUCCCGACCCCCGAUGCCUGCGACCUACCCGACGGUUUUCCACGAAAGUAGACACUUAAUCAACCCCUCCAUGAUUGUUCAAGACUUGAUGUACUCUCUUUUCGGUUUUUAAGAUUCGUACACCUAGUUCACGAGGAUCUACGAUCAACCCCAAGACUUCCCCACGAUUCUCUGCUCCUUCGAGAGACGCAACUAGGCUGUAAAAUACCCUUACAGCCCGCUAAACAGUUGGUAUCUACGAUACUACGUUUAAACCAUUAGUAUGGACAACUUCAGCUCUGAGGACUAGCGGUAAUAAUGGUAGAACGUAAUAAGUGACGGUUCUUUUAUCUCCGAAAACUCCUCAAUUGCGCCCUAAUACCGUAGCUAAAACUACCAUGACUACUGGAGUUAUUUCGUAAACUGACGUACACGCCUUCGUUCAUGACAGCGCCGCCAGGCUUAUUAAGUUCCUUCUCCUGAUCCCGUUCACGUUCAGUCUUGAUCUCCAUAACCGUAAGCCAGUUCUCGCCACCUUCUUCUCACAACCGUCCUUGUCCCGCAUCUAUCUACGUUCCCCGCCACAGUCGGUCAGUAUAAAACCCCAAACCUACAUCAUUUUGGUUGAUUUUUACGGACUACGUCUCGUUCACCCUGAAUUAAUCAUACACACAACAGUCAGACAGUGACACACACGCAGGCCUCAAAUGGAUCGUUAACGUCAAUUGAACGAAGUGACGGGCUCGAAUAAGACGUAGAAAAAAAAGAGAGAGAAAGGUACAGUUAAAAUCAAAGACAUAAAUAAAUAUCCACAGAGGUG
rnacentral:rRNA from 1 species